CACGCUGUCUACGAAUGUAAGCCAGUUUCCAAUAACGAGAUGAUCUUCAUUAAAUGAAAAUGUUACUGUACUAGAAUCUUGACGUUUUCAAUUUCCUGCUUGCAAAUUGAAAUAAAUGACUGGCAACAUCGACUCUGAAUUUACUGCACAGCCGGGUUUUCUUAUUGGAAUCUUUUUAUUCGUUUACUACAGGCGACGGAACUCCUGGAAGUUGUCGUUAACAUUAUUAUUGGAUUUUUAAUUAACAAACCGUGAACUUUGUACGUUUGAGGUGAAUACACAACAAGAACGAUGUCUUCUAAGAUGUCUACAAUAAGAACUAUUCAAAUGUCGACGAAUGGAGACAAAAACUGUAAGCUAUUCAAAAUAAUGGAAUAAUAAAUUGAUUAAAAUAAAGGCGACAACAGUAA